GACGUAGGGGGCGAGCGUUAUCCGGAUUUAUUGGGCGUAAAGCGCGCGCAGGCGGGACGCAGCAGUGGCGCGUGGAAUCUCCCCGCUCACCGGGGAGGGGUCGUGCCAGACGGGCGUUCUAGAGGCAGGCAGAGGGGCACGGAACGGGCGGAGUAGGGGUGAAAUCCGUAGAGACCGUCCGGAACACCAGUAGGGCAGCCGGUGCCCUGGGCCUGACCUGACGCUCAGGCGCGAAAGCGUGGGGCGCGAACGGA
rnacentral:rRNA from 1 species